rnacentral:lncRNA from 1 species
AUGCCACAGGUGAUGGAGUCCUGCUUGUACACCCCUCACUGUGUCAGUCUUCCUUUGGUGUGGUUUGCUAUCCUGCAGAGGCAAACGUUGAAAUGCUGGCUUCUCUUUCUUGUGACAAGAAUAGAAACAAAUGCAAGUUUACCCUGGACUGUGUUAGGAGUAAUUUCAAAACAAGUGAUUGAACUCAACGUGUUCUGUUCCUUCAAACAUGGAUGCAAACUUCUUGAGAUAAUUAGCUCUGACAUUUCUUCUUCUAAGGACAACCUGAAAGUCAAAAGGCAAAAGAAGGAAGGUGGUGAUCCAGGACUCUGGAGGAGGGGACUUAGGCCACAGACCUGA